rnacentral:lncRNA from 1 species
GCGUCGCUUAUUGUAUUGGAUGUAAAGACGGGACAAAAGGCAAACGUGAAUGUGUGUAUGUAUGCCUAAUGUGCACUGAAAUGAGUGCACAUUAUGGUAAAUAAAAAUACGGUUCUUUGCGUGAAGCUAGAGAAAAAUCUAUGUUUUGUAACAUGACAGCCGAUCAAAUAUGCUUUAGUCACAAAUUUUAUAUCUUCCUUCUGAGUUCAAGAGGGUAAAUUAGCAACAGUACCAAAGUAGUAGUAGUAGCAGCAACAACAUGCGGCAAACAAUGAGAAGCAUGAGCAUCACAGGGUAAACGGCUCGGAAGCAACAACGAGCGUGUCUACCUUCGUGGUCGCGGGCAAGGCGAGCGUCCCACGGGACUACGGGAGCGAGAGAGCAUCCUCUGACGCGAGCACAUGCUCCGCUCGUUUACCGUGUCGCGACCCGCGGGCGGAGCCUGCAGCACGUGGCAUGAGGAGAUGUGGACGAAGACGCCCUUGGUAGGACAACGACGGGGAUUUUGAUUACGAGCAUAACUGGAUCUGCCGCCGCCCACCGUCGGAGGGAACCAGCCGUAGUUGAGGAUGACGGAUAUCCGUCAUUCAGCCGCCUCGGGCUCGCCUCCUCGUGCAUCGCUUUGGUAGCCGUCGUCCAGGCGCCUCGGGCUGCCUCAGGCUCUCAACGUGCUCGCGACGCAACAGCCUCUGUCGGCAACUUGGACCUGAGUUCGGAUGUCGAGACCCCACCGCGCCACCGCCUCCCCGUCAUCCUCUACAACUCCUCCGUCGAGCUCGUGCCCGUGAGUCGCCGCCGCCUGACUGCUCUCUCGAUCUACAGAACCACGUCUUUAAAGUCGACGGCGUCUUUGCUACUCCGAGUUGUAGACGAAUCCCUAGCUCUACUUGAGAGGAAACCGAGAGAGAAGCUAGCGGGCCGAGGCCAAUUGCAUUGCACCCACGUCGUCCAUGCAUAUGCAACCAGCGAGAAAAUCGUAGAUGAACCAGCCGAGGUAGCUAGGAUCCGUAAUUUUUCUUCACGGUUUUUUCUCGUUUCUUCCUUUUCGGUUAUUCUUUCCUGACUGAUUUUCCUUUCAUUUUCCUUUUUAUUUUAUAUAUUAUAUACUUUAUAAAAAAACACUAUUCUAUACUUUUUGGUAAUUAACAUGG